UGAGGAAUAUUGCGCAAUGCCCGAAAGGGUGACGCAGCGACGCCGCGUGAAGGAUGAAGGCCCUACGGGUCGUAAACUUCUUUUGUGAGGGAAUAAUUUCUCGCUACAGGCGAGAUUGAAUGUACCUCAGGAAAAAGCAUCGGCUAACUACGUGCCAGCAGCCGCGGUAAUACGUAGGAUGCUAGCGUUGUCCGGAUUUACUGGGUGUAAAGGGAGCGCAGGCGGGUUGGUAAGUCGGUGGUGAAAUUUUCGGGCUUAACCCGAAAACUGCCAUCGAUACUGCUAAUCUUGAGUGCAGAAGAGGUUGAUGGAAUUCUAGGUGUAGCGGUGAAAUGCGUAGAUAUCUAGAAGAACACCGAUGGCGAAGGCAGUCAACUGGUCUGCUACUGACGCUCAUGCUCGAAAGCGUGGGGAUCAAACAGG
rnacentral:rRNA from 1 species